rnacentral:rRNA from 1 species
GAGUUUGAUCCUGGCUCAGGACGAACGCUGGCGGCGCGCCUAACACAUGCAAGUCGAACGGAGCUGAGAGGAGCUUGCUUUUCUUAGCUUAGUGGCGAACGGGUGAGUAACGCGUGAGUAACCUGCCCUGGAGUGGGGGACAACAGUUGGAAACGGCUGCUAAUACCGCAUAAGCCCACGAUCCGGCAUCGGAUUGAGGGAAAAGGAUUUAUUCGCUUCAGGAUGGACUCGCGUCCAAUUAGCUAGUUGGUGAGGUAACGGCCCACCAAGGCGACGAUUGGUAGCCGGACUGAGAGGUUGAACGGCCACAUUGGGACUGAGACACGGCCCAGACUCCUACGGGAGGCAGCAGUGGGGAAUAUUGGGCAAUGGGCGCAAGCCUGACCCAGCAACGCCGCGUGAGGGAAGAAGGCUUUCGGGUUGUAAACCUCUGUCCUUGGUGACGAAGGAAGUGACGGUAGCCAAGGAGGAAGCCCCGGCUAACUACGUGCCAGCCGCCGCGGUAAUAC